rnacentral:misc_RNA from 1 species
GAUGAAGAACGCAGCGAAAUGCGAUAAGUAAUGUGAAUUGCAGAAUUCAGUGAAUCAUCGAAUCUUUGAACGCACAUUGCGCCCGCCAGUAUUCUGGCGAGCAUGCCUGUUCGAGCGUCAUUUCAACCAUCAAGCCCCAGGCUUGUGUUGGAGCCCUGCGGCUGCCGCAGCCUCCCAAAACCAGUGGCGGGCUCGCUAUCACACCGAGUGCAGUAGUUUACUCUUCGCUCAGGGCGUGUGGCGGGUGCUAGCCGUGAAACCCCCAACUUCUCAAGGUUGACCUCGGUUCAGGUAGGAAUACCCGCUGAACUUAAGCAUAUCAAUAAGCGGAGGA